rnacentral:rRNA from 1 species
AUUGAACGCUGGCGGCGUGCCUAACACAUGCAAGUCGAGCGGUAACAGGUGUAGCAAUACAUGCUGACGAGCGGCGGACGGGUGAGUAACGCUUGGGAAUCUGCCUGUUAGUGGGGGACAACCCGGGGAAACUCGGGCUAAUACCGCAUACGCACUACGGUGGAAAGCCGGGGACCGCAAGGCCUGGCGCUAACAGAUGAGCCCAAGUCGGAUUAGCUAGUUGGUAGGGUAACGGCCUACCAAGGCGACGAUCCGUAACUGGUCUGAGAGGACGACCAGUCACACCGGAACUGAGACACGGUCCGGACUCCUACGGGAGGCAGCAGUGGGGAAUAUUGGACAAUGGGCGAAAGCCUGAUCCAGCGACGCCGCGUGGGUGAAGAAGGCCUGCGGGUUGUAAAGCCCUUUCGGUGGGGAAGAAAAGCCUACGAGUUAAUACCUCGGGGUCUUGACGUAACCCAUAGAAGAAGC